rnacentral:tRNA from 1 species
GCGUUUUUAGCUCAGUUGGUAGCAGCACUUGACUCUUAAUCAAGGGGUCCAGGGUUCGAGUCCCUGAAGACGCACCA